rnacentral:tRNA from 1 species
UCCGUAGUAGCUCAGCAGGUAGAGCGCCCGGCUGUUAACCGGGAGUGCGCGGGUUCGAAGCCUGCCUACGGAGCCA